GUCACUUUGCCGGAGUGGUUAACGGGAUGCCCUGCUAAGGCAUUGCAUAUUGUGCGCGCAUGUUCGAAUCAUGCAGGUGACG
rfam:Fistulina hepatica ATCC 64428 unplaced genomic scaffold FISHEscaffold_145, whole genome shotgun sequence.